AAGAGACCUGUGAUUUCUGCUUUCCCUAAAGGGCUGAGCUGACUCUCUCUUCCACAUCUGUGUCAACUUAGCCAACAAGAAAUCACGGAAAAUGCACAAGCCUCCAGUUAAAAGUUAAGUCCGGGGAGGAAAUGCCAGCAUGGUGACUACAGUUAAUACCAUCCGUGUAGUGUACCUGGAAGUUGCCGAGAGGAGACCUUAAACGUUCUCAUCACAAGAAAAAAUAUUCUGUGACUGUACGUGGUGAUGGAUGUGAACUUGAUUAACGUUGUGAGCAUUUCACAGUAUAUAAAAAUAUUGAA